GUGUCACCAUGGCGUGAGAUCGUCGCAGGUUGCAAAAUGGUUGCAGACACAGGGAUUCAAGCGUGUGUUUAACGUGUCAGGAGGAAUUCAUGCUUACUCUCUCAAGGCCGAUCCCUCUGUUCCCACAUACUGAACUGUUUCAUUCUCCUGCUGAGAAAUUAUUCAAAGUUCUCCAUUUGAUAGGCAAAAACUAGUUUUCUUUGAAGAGGCAGAUUUGUCUUUGAAGAUAACGUUGAUGUGAUAAAAUUAAAAUUAUUGACUGAGAAAGUAUUAUGUUGGAGAAAUGGUAAAAAUGAUAUAGUAAUAAUGGUUUUAUGCUGAGU